AACAGCAGUGCUCUCUUCUCGCAUGCCUUGUUGACAUAAUGAAUAACAAAUGACAAGACGUUAGGUCAGUGUAGCAGGUCCAUUAUGGAACCGGUUCUCGAUACUCUACCCUACUUGCGAGUGUGUGAGUAACAUAAUUUCUCAUUCUUGAUUGGAAAUGGCAACUUCAAUCUUCAAGGCCGACUCUGAUCCAGAACACGAAUGAAGAGCUAAAUAAAGAUUAGAGCAGGACGUCUCAAUUUGAAAAAUGCAGUGUGACGUGAGGUGAAGCACUGACCAGGAUCUCCUCUCCGGCGUCGUACUUGCUCUCUAUCUCCUUGCCCAGGUCCCCCUCAGGAAUCUUCAGGUCCUCUCUCAGCUCCCCGCUGUCCUGGAGCAGGGACAGGUAGCCUUCUUGGAUCCCAAUCAGCUGGGAGAGGGGAACAAUGGAAAACAUUAUUUUGAUCCAUGCAUCGUUAUUUUUUUUCCUCUUUCUGUUCUUUAUUUCUUUUAUACAAUGUAUGUGCACUGAACUUACCGGUGGUUUCUAAGUAUGCACGUGUGAUUCAUACUCUUAAUGCACAAGCAAGUUUAUUUCAUGCACAAACAUUUCAGUUUGAAUUAUUUACAUGACAUAUAGCCCAGCAUCAUUAGGAACUGUUUCCCCUAUUAUACUUCAAAGAGUUAUCCUGACAUGAAGGUACAGGAGCCUGAGGCUGCAUGGUUUCACCUCUACAGGAAACCCUACACUAUUUGCUCUUCAGUCUGGCGAGCUGUGGCCAUUCCACUACACUGAACAUGUUUUAACCCAACCGGUUUGAUCAGAUGUGUAACAUAUCAGGUUUGCAGUCUUUCCACAAAUAGAACGUAAUCAGGAGGAAGCGGGCCUGCUUAGACGUUUCUGAAAUAUGAAAUUCAUUUGUAUCGUUCCCUAUAAAUUACACGACGAGUUUGAGGUGAAAUUACAGAAGUUCGGAGGUGGUAAAACCUGCAUUAACUGACUUUUGCUGCAAAAUUCUCCACUAUGUUCACCAGCAAGUCGCUAACUUUGUCUGUCUCAUUGCUGGGCAGGUAGCACACGGUAGAUUUAUCGGAGCUUUUCAGCUGAAAACGACGCUGACGAGAGCUGCGAGACUGAAACACAAUGGUAGCAAAACAAGGAGCUGAAAGACACUAAGCUCCCUUCAUGUGUUCUGCUGCACCAGACUAAAUGUGUGUUUCUAACAGUCAUUUAUAGAUAAACCGUACAAUUUUAAAAAGUUACCAGGAUUGUUCUCUGACAUCAGUACUAGUUGUUUCUCUUUCUUUCUUUGUGUGUUUUGUCUGCAAAGCUGUUCUCACUAAAGAGAUUCUUAGGUGAGUAAUAAUCAUGGGUCUUUUUCAAAUAACCGCUUAUUGUGCCCCAGCAGCCUCUGAAACUAUGUUGCUUAUUAAAGACCAAAGCAUAUUUGUGUA